rnacentral:rRNA from 1 species
UACCUUUUGCAUCAUGAUUUAGCCAGCACCCUCAAGCAAAGAGCACUUUAGUUUGACCACCCGAAUUUAGGUGAGCUACUCCAAGACAGCCUAUCCAUAAGGGCAAACCCGUCUCUGUGGCAAAAGAGUGGGACGAGCUUCGAGUAGAGGUGACAGACCUACCGAACCUAAUUAUAGCUGGUUGCCUGGGAACUGGAUAGAAGUUCAGCCCUACGGCUUCUCCUUCCCAACCCGUUCCAACACACCCCUGGCACUUUAGAGAAACCGUACGAGUUAGCCAAAGGAGGUACAGCCCCUUUGAACCAAGAAACAACUUUACCAGGAGGGUAUCAAUCAUAUUAUUAAAGGCAAAAUGCCAAGGUGGGCCUAAAAGCAGCCAUCCUUAUAGAAAGCGUUACAGCUCAAGCAUUUCCCACGCCCAUUAUACCGAUAACCCAAUUCCAACCCCCUAACCUUACCAGGCCAUCCUAUGCACACAUAGGAGUGACCAUGCUAAUAUGAGUAAUAAGAGGACACGCCCCUCUCCCUGCACACGUGUA